rnacentral:misc_RNA from 1 species
AACGCACAUUGCGCCCGCUAGUAUUCUGGCGGGCAUGCCUGUCUGAGCGUCAUUUCAACCCUCAUGCCCCCCGGGGCGUGGUGUUGGGGAUCGGCCAAAGCCCGCGAGGGACGGCCGGCCCCUAAAUCUAGUGGCGGACCCGUCGUGGCCUCCCCUGCGAAGUAGUGAUAUUCCGCAUCGGAUAGCGACGAGCCCAUGCCGUUAAACCCCCAACUUUACAAGGUUGACCUCAGAUCAGGUAGGAAUACCCGCUGAACUUAA